GAUGGAUUUACAACAGAAUUUUAUAAAUUUUUUUGGAUAGACCUCCAUGAGUUUAUUAUAAAAUCUUUUAAUUAUAGCUUAGAAACUGGAUCUUUUUCGGUUAGUCAGAAACAAGGAGUAAUAACAUGCAUUCCAAAAGAGGGUAAAUCAAAAUUUCAAUUAAAAAACUGGAGACCUAUCACUUUAUUAAAUGUUGAUACAAAAAUUGCAUCAGCUGCAUUAGCAAAUAGAAUAAAACCUUUUCUUGGGGAUAUAAUUAGUGAAACACAGCAAGGUUUCAUAAAGGGGAGGUAUAUUGGAGAAUGUACCAGGC
rnacentral:lncRNA from 1 species